AUUUCUUCCUUUGCACCUUGCUUACAUGCCAAAGCAGUGGAUAUAGACUGCUUAUUCUUCCAUAAUCUCAACAGUUCAGCUUCCACCUCGUCCCACAUUUUAGCACAUCCUGCUGAAGUACUAAGCUCAUAAACACCAUCACUACCAGCCUCUCCAACUCCAGUACCGUUGUCUGUCUCACUGGUAGAGGUUGGGCAUGGCCGGGGGUUGACUGG